GGUGAACGCUGGCGGCGUGCCUAAUACAUGCAAGUCGAGCGAACGGACGAGAAGCUUGCUUUUCUGAUGUUAGCGGCGGACGGGUGAGUAACACGUGGAUAACCUACCUAUAAGACUGGGAUAACUUCGGGAAACCGGAGCUAAUACCGGAUAAUAUUUUGAACCGCAUGGUUCAAUAGUGAAAGACGGUCUUGCUGUCACUUAUAGAUGGAUCCGCGCUGCAUUAGCUAGUUGGUAAGGUAACGGCUUACCAAGGCAACGAUGCAUAGCCGACCUGAGAGGGUGAUCGGCCACACUGGAACUGAGACACGGUCCAGACUCCUACGGGAGGCAGCAGUAGGGAAUCUUCCGCAAUGGGCGAAAGCCUGACGGAGCAACGCCGCGUGAGUGAUGAAGGUCUUCGGAUCGUAAAACUCUGUUAUUAGGGAAGAACAUAUGUGUAAGUAACUGUGCACAUCUUGACGGUACCUAAUCAGAAAGCCACGGCUAACUACGUG
rnacentral:rRNA from 1 species